rnacentral:rRNA from 1 species
GGGUAAACAUGCGAAACUCGAAUGAACGAACGGAGAGAUUCAUCGUCAUUCCUCGGCGUACGGGCUGCGCGCUUCGAUGUCGUCGGCCUUGGUCGUCGUGCACGACGCGCGUCCGUCGACGUCCGAGGACGGCGUGCACUUCUCUCUUAGUAAAUACAUCGCGACCCGUUCGAUGUCGGUCUAAGCGCCGCUCGGGAGUCCCAUGGUCCCCCCUUAAAAGGGGUCUAUGGGACCGAGACGGUGGCCGACCGGCCGUCGGACGGUAGUACUGACGAAACGCGCACGCGUUUAUAACGCGUCCGGCCCGACGCAAGUCAACGUCGUAUCCAACGUACCGCCUUAGCGCGGACGUAGGUGCGGCGCGUCUGUUGUUGCAGCCGUGCAGUCUCGGACUGUGCGCGUCUCUGUCUGCGAUGAUUCAGUUUCGGGCACUCGCAGGACCCGUCUUGAAACACGGACCAAGGAGUCUAGCAUGUAUGCGAGUCAUUGAGACAAUAAAACUGAAAGGCGCAACGAAAGUGAAGGCGCGCGCUUGCCGCGCGCUCAGGGAGGAUGGAGCGUCGAUCUAGGUCGAUCUCUCGCACUCCCGAGGCGUCUCGUUUCCAAUCCGUGAAUGUAGGCGCGCUCUGAGCAUAAAUGCUGGGACCCGAAAGAUG